rnacentral:rRNA from 1 species
UACGUAGGGUGCAAGCGUUGUCCGGAUUUAUUGGGCGUAAAGCGCUCGUAGGCGGCUUGUUGCGUCGACUGUGAAAACCCGCGGCUUAACCGCGGGCUUGCAGUUGAUACGGGCAGGCUAGAGUUCGGUAGGGGAGACUGGAAUUCCUGGUGUAGCGGUGAAAUGCGCAGAUAUCAGGAGGAACACCGGUGGCGAAGGCGGGUCUCUGGGCCGAUACUGACGCUGAGGAGCGAAAGCGUGGGGAGCGAACAGG